rnacentral:lncRNA from 1 species
CUACAAUGUAAAUAGUCAUGAAAAUAAAGAAAAAACCUUUAAAUGAGACUGUUAGUGUAUACAUAGAUGGCGUAAUAUUUCUGCAUUCCUGUGUUUGUAAAAUAAAUUAAAAACAAAAAAAAUCUGCACACUGAAAAAAACGUGGGAAAGAAGAAGCUGAGGUUAUUUUGUCUCUACUCUUUGUUUUACUUCCUUUAUCACCUUUCCACAUACAGUUUGUGAACACCGACUGAUAUGUAGUAUCAGUCAUUUCUGUUAUUUAACUGUAUGAACACACUCUGAACACCAAGAAGACAUGGAAGCUGUGCUUGGAUUGAUAGUGAUGUUGCUGGGAUUGUCUCAUGGUGUGGAAACUUACUGUGAUGGCAGACCGGAUGGAGCUCAGUGUUAUGGAGCUUUGGGAGGAACUGUGGAGAUCCAGCUGAUGAACAGCACCUCAAAAAUACCUCGAUACCAACUGUUAAAGAAUUCAUUAAAAAUACUAGAUGUGAGAAAAAAAAAGAUUCUUUCUAAUAUCAUACAAAAUAGGUCUCUCUUUUUUCCCAGUAAUGGAACAUUUAGGCUCAAUUACCUGAGCAGGAAUGACAGUGGUAAUUAUAGCCUUAUAACAUUUAAUUCAGAUGGAAAAGCAUCAGACGAGCAGACUCUACACUUGUUUGUUCAAGCUCCUGUGUCCUCUGUCCUGCUGGUCUCUGAGUGUCUGUCCCAGGGAGAGAGGAGGGUGUCCUGCUCCUCUGAGGGAGGGGACAGUCCUCAGUACAGCUGGACUCUGGAUGGACGCACACUGACAGAUGCUGAGCUCCUUUCUGUAAAUAAUGAGACUAACAGCAUCACUCUGAAACAGCACGUCUCAGGACGUCUGGUCUGCUCAGUGAGGAACAACGUCAGUGAUGCCUUCAAAGUACAGAAGAUAUCUACCUGUGGUGUGGGAACUUACUGUGAUGGCAGACAGGAUGGAGCUCAGUGUUAUGGAGCUUUGGGAGGAAGUGUGGAGAUCAAGCUGAUGGACAGCACCUCAAAAAUACCUCGAUACCAUUUGUUAAAGAAUUCAUUAAAAAUACUAGAUGUGAGAAAGAAAAAGAUUCUUUCUAAUAUCAUAGAACAUAAAUUUCUCUUUUUUCCCAGUAAUGGAACAUUUAGGCUCAAUUAUCUGAGCAGGACAGACAGUGGUAAUUAUAGCCUUAAAACCUUUGAUUCGGAUGGAAAAGCAUCAGACGAGCAGACUCUACACUUGUUUGUUCAAGCUCCUGUGUCCUCUGUCCUGCUGGUCUCUGAGUGUCUGUCCCAGGAAGAGAGGAUGGUGUCCUGCUCCUCUGAGGGAGGGGACAGUCCUCAGUACAGCUGGACUCUGGAUGGACGCACACUGACAGAUGCUGAGCUCCUUUCUGCAAAUAAUGAGACUAACGUUAUCACUCUGAAACAGCACGUCUCAGGACGUCUGGUCUGCUCAGUCAGGAACAACGUCACUAAUGUUUUCAUAGAACACAGGAUGUCUACCUGUGCUCCAUCAGUGGGAUACAGACAUCAGGAUAAGUCCUUGCUUAUAUGUGGUUUGCGAGCAGUUGUGGUCAUUCUCUUGCUAAUUGGGAUUUCCAUCUACUUCGCUUGGAAAAAAAAGGAACAUGCCAAAGCUGAAGUCUCUGCUGUCCCACAAACAAGAGGAGAUCCAGAAGACUCUGUUCUGAUGGUUGAAAUGAGUUCUGCAACUUACACCAACACCUAGUGUCACCUUUUACUUGCUGUUGUUUUUGUCAUUGGUUCACAAGCAUGAAAAUAACAUUUAGAGAGAAAUUCUUGUUUCACAGACAGCUCAUAUUGAAUUAUGAUGAGACGCUCUGUGGUUUCUGGAUUUUACAUUUUUAAUACAAAUCUUUACAAUUCUUAAACAAUAAAGUCUUGAAUUAAGUUUUCU